rnacentral:rRNA from 1 species
AGUCGAACGGUGAAGCCAAGCUUGCUUGGUGGAUCAGUGGCGAACGGGUGAGUAACACGUGAGCAACCUGCCCUGGACUCUGGGAUAAGCGCUGGAAACGGUGUCUAAUACUGGAUAUGAGCUCCUGCCGCAUGGUGGGGGUUGGAAAGAUUUUUCGGUCUGGGAUGGGCUCGCGGCCUAUCAGCUUGUUGGUGAGGUAAUGGCUCACCAAGGCGUCGACGGGUAGCCGGCCUGAGAGGGUGACCGGCCACACUGGGACUGAGACACGGCCCAGACUCCUACGGGAGGCAGCAGUGGGGAAUAUUGCACAAUGGGCGGAAGCCUGAUGCAGCAACGCCGCGUGAGGGACGACGGCCUUCGGGUUGUAAACCUCUUUUAGCAAGGAAGAAGCGAAAGUGACGGUACUUGCAGAAAAAGCGCCGGCUAACUACGUGCCAGCAGCCGCGGUAAUACGUAGGGCGCAAGCGUUAUCCGGAAUUAUUGGGCGUAAAGAGCUCGUAGGCGGUUUGUCGCGUCUGCUGUGAAAUCCCGAGGCUCAACCUCGGGCCUGCAGUGGGUACGGGCAGACUAGAGUGCGGUAGGGGAGAUUGGAAUUCCUGGUGUAGCGGUGGAAUGCGCAGAUAUCAGGAGGAACACCGAUGGCGAAGGCAGAUCUCUGGGCCGUAACUGACGCUGAGGAGCGAAAGGGUGGGGAGCAAACAGGCUUAGAUACCCUGGUAGUCCACCCCGUAAACGUUGGGAACUAGUUGUGGGGUCCUUUCCACGGAUUCCGUGAC